AGUGAACGCUGGCGGUAGGCCUAACACAUGCAAGUCGAACGGCAGCACAGUAAGAGCUUGCUCUUACGGGUGGCGAGUGGCGGACGGGUGAGGAAUACAUCGGAAUCUACUUUUUCGUGGGGGAUAACGUAGGGAAACUUACGCUAAUACCGCAUACGGCCUACGGGUGAAAGCAGGGGAUCUUCGGACCUUGCGCGAUUGAAUGAGCCGAUGUCGGAUUAGCUAGUUGGCGGGGUAAAGGCCCACCAAGGCGACGAUCCAUAGCUGGUCUGAGAGGAUGAUCAGCCACACUGGAACUGAGACACGGUCCAGACUCCUACGGGAGGCAGCAGUGGGGAAUAUUGGACAAUGGGCGCAAGCCUGAUCCAGCCAUACCGCGUGGGUGAAGAAGGCCUUCGGGUUGUAAAGCCCUUUUGUUGGGAAAGAAAAGCAGCAGGUUAAUACCCCGCUGUUCUGACGGUACCCAAAGAAUAAGCACCGGCUAACUUCGUG
rnacentral:rRNA from 1 species